rnacentral:lncRNA from 1 species
UAUAAAAGAGAAGCUUCAUCUCUUGUAAAUCAACUUGAGUUUAAGUAAUGAAAUGCUGCUGAACUUCAGCCAUUGCUCUCAAGUUCGAACUUGUGCUUUGUUAUCCAGCACCUCCUAUAGCUCCUUUCCCCUUUGGAAGGCUGCCUGAGCUAUAAUUCUACCAAACACAUUCAUCCAACAUCACCAGAUAUUUUCACAAACACCUUCAGUGCAAUUCACACUUCAUCUUCUCCAUCAGUCCGCUGCCAUUUCUCUGGUUCUGGAAGUGUUUGUGACUGAGUUGCAACGAUGCUUCCAUCACUAUCUUUCUCCCUUUACCCCUUAGAUUAAUACUUAAACACUUAAAUAUAUUAAACCUUUUACUAGAGGCGCCCAACAAAAGACAUGAAAACUUCUAUUUUGCUAAGAGCAGAUGGGACCCAUAUCAUUCAAUGUCUACAAAAUAAACACAUAAUGGUCUAACAUUCAAAGUUAAAUUACUCUAGGAUGCUACCAAACUUCCCCAUAUAAAAUCCUUAUAUAUUGUCAUUAUAAACCAACUCUUACACCAUUUACAUAGACUAGCAUUAUACUUCCUCAUUCUCUCUCCUUUCCAUAACCAUGUUCCUCCUGCAUUCUUAAUCUAUUAUAAUACUUCUUUUCUCUCUCAUUGAACUCUUAACGUCAACACCCCACCAUUCAACUCCACCAACUUUCCUUCCUCCUUUUCUCUCUUUCCCUACUUAUGUAAUCCCCUACAACCCGUGCCUCUUCCCCUUCUCUUUUUCUUCUCCCAUAAAAUACUCACGUACACCACUUCCCCAAAACACCUACUAACCCUCCCAUCAUAUCACCAUAGAUCCCACUCCUAUUUCUAAACCAACUUCCCCUGAUCGUCAUACUUCCACCCUCCUUUCUCCAACUCCAUUCAAGUGGGACCCACUCCAUCAUUUCCUCCAAAACAAUACCUGCAAAAGAAGCAAUAACUCUCCUUCAUACUUCUUACGUAUCACUUUCUUUUUCCCUUCCUUUAUUUUGUGUUCCUUAUUGCUAACCCUAGAAUACCUCUUUUUGUGAAACCCACGGUUACACCCACACUCAUUUCAUUCAUUCUACCUUUCCAACCCUAACCUCAUACUUUCUGCUACCUUCUCCUUCCUAUUUCUUCCUUUUCUCUAACCUUACAAACACACAACUUUCUUCAUCCUAACUUUUCUUCUAACAAAACCUCCCAGUGAAGAACCGGAACUACUACUCUACAGCAUAAAUCAACACGCUCAUCGAACAUCAUUUUCUCACCACCAGACUCUCUUUCUCAAGCUAGAUUCAAACCCGUAACUCUUCUUCAUCCUCUAAACGUUUAACGUUACUUCUUCUUUCUUUCGGUCUCACCAAGGACACCUUCUACACAUUGCUGCACUCCCCACUCAUUACAGAAUUUAUUAAGGUAGAGAACCCACCACAUGGAUAUGCAUGAACCAAAGCAAUCACCACGAGAAUGAAUUCAAGAAGAAAAACCACCCAAACUCAAUACAUAUGAUAUAUUCUAGUCACCGCUUACCUUGCCUUUGCAAAAGCUUCCUAGAGUAUUUUUGCAAGAGUACUUUUGCAAACCGGAGAAGCCCCUCCUC